GUUAAACGCCCACGCUAUAUUUACUUCCUGGAAACUAUAUUUUUAAGCCGACAGAGCAGCUAAUCUACGUCUCCCGUUAUGGUGCAUCCAACAUUUGUCAAGGCUGCUCCUGACCCUUCACAUUUUCGCAAGGGUGGUGUCUUUAAAUGCCAGUGCUGCAGUUAUGACACUGACCAGCAAUUUAAAUUCAGGAUAUAUCAACAAAACCACAUCAAGCAGUGGAGCAUGACAGGAUAGUGCAGGUGCUCCUCACUGUCAUUGAGGACUCCUAGAGGCAGCUCUGGGAGAGGGUGACCAAGCUUCGUCUUUACCGGGACAUUGUUGGAAACAUUUUGGGCCCAGGCACAUUUCCAGUGGCUUGACAGUAUGUGUAAGAAGCAUGAUAUUUCGAUACAAUUAGUAAGUAAGUAAGUAAGUAUUUAUUUAUAUAGCACUUUCCAAGCAAAGCUACAAAGUGCUUCACAUGCAAUACUAUACAUAUAAAAUGAUUUUAAAAAAUUAUAUUAAUACAAUAAAAUAAUAAUAAUAAGAAUAAUAAGAAUAAUAAAACAAUAUAGUUACUCUAUAAAAUCAUAAAAGUAAUCCCAUCCAUAAACAGAAAAAGAACAUAAAACAUCAGCAAUGUCCACACUCAAAGGCUAAUGUGUACAGGUGUGUUUUAAGUCUCUUUUUAAAGAUCUCUUUUGACCCAGCAAGUCUUAUAUCCUGAGGCAGAGUGUUGCACAGUGUUGGAGCAUACACAGAAAAAGCACAAUCUCCUUUACGUUUCCGCCUCGUCCUAGGGACAACUAAAAGCCCCUGACUAGCUGACCUCAGUACCCUGGCACAAGAAUAUGGCACUAAAAGCUCUGAAAUAUAUUUUGGUCCAUCACCGUGCACAGCCUGAUAUGUUAAAACCAAAAUUUUAAAAUGAAUCCUAAAAGCAACGGGGAGCCGAUGUAAAGAUGCCAGCACAGGAGUAAUAUGCUCCCUUCGUUUAGUCCCAGUCAGAACCCUAGCAGCUGCAUUUUGGACCAACUGCAGCCGAGUCAUUUCCCUCUGGGUAAGACAUGUAAAUAGCACAUUACAAUAAUCAAGGCGAGACGAUACAAAAGCAUGGAUAAUCUUCUCUGUGUCCUAAAAGGAAAGCAUUUUUCUGAUUUUGGCUACAUUUCUCAAUUGAAAAUAACAAGCCUGUUCGAGCUUUGUUAUAUGCAUUGAGAAACUCAGCUCAGAAUCAAAAAUUAGACCGAGAUAUCUGGGACAGGGAUUUGACUGUAAAGCCAAUGACCCAAGUUUCUUCCUUAGGUCACUGGCAACACGUUGAGGGCCCAAGACCAAGACUUCUGUCUUUACCUCAUUUAAUUUGAGAAAAUUACAGCUCAUCCAAUCUUUGAUUUCUUAAAUGCAUUCAGUAAGGCAACCUAACCUACUGAAAUCAUUCUUCUUUACAGAGAGAUAGAGCUGUGUAUCGUCCGCAUAUAAAUGAUAACAUGUGUUAAAACGACGAAUCAAGUUCCCUAAGGGAAGCAAGUACAAAGAAAAUAAAAUAGGGCCAAGAAUUGACCCUUGUGGAACUCCACAUGGAAGGUCAGCACAAGAAGACAUCUUUCCUCCAACAGACACUCUAAAACUUCUAUUCAUUAAAUAUGAAGUGAACCAAUCCAUCAAAGGCCCAGAAAUUCCAACCCACUGCUGUAGCCUAUUUAUCAAAAUAUUAUGAUCGACAGUAUCAAAGGCUGCACUAAUAUCCAACAAAACCAAAACAGACACUUCUCCUGCAUCAGCAUUGAUCAAGAGCUCAUUUACACUCUAAGAACAAAUGUGUUAUUUUUUCUACACAUCUACUGUGUUGUGAGCGCAUUUUGUGCCAAUUUUGUGCCAAUUCUUUAACACACACAUGUGUAAUAUGACCCCUAGAAAAUUCACACACUUCUGUGUUAACCUCAGAAGAUACAUUUAUACAGAAAAAAAUGGUGAUUGAAUUUUACUUAACCUCUUAACAGGCCAUCGCCUCAGUCUAGUUGGUGGUCAGGAUGGAGGUUUCAGCGAUAUUGAACCAAGACACUGCAAUUUUUCAAGUUCUUGCCCACAUCUACAGGGAUGAGAGAUAAUAUUUAAGGAAGAUUUAUGAUGUUCGCAACACUGAGCAUCUUAAAAUGUAAGAACUCUGAAAUUCAACCCACAGUUUGAAUUUAUUUAUUUAUUGACGUAGAUAGAAUUUAUUGACGUAGAUAGCAAUGUAGACAUCAGUAACUUGGAUAGAUUCCAGCUGUUCUUAUCAUACAAAGAGACUGAAUCGUCCCAGCCUAUGGCCACUGCAGUGUGCCAAGCUCAGCAUACUCAAGAUUCACAAGAGCAUGAAAAACUGAGGUCCCUUUUGGAAAAGAAAGCACGAGACACUGGAUGAACCAGGCACUGUGACAGAAAAAGCAAGAAUAAAGCUUGUUAAAGUGUGUGGAUCUGACCUGGUAAAAAAGCAUGAAUUUUAUCCAACAAGUACUGAAAAAGUGGCUCUAGCAAAGAACAUCAUCGCUGUCCAGGUAGAUGGAAAAGGGGAAGGAUUUGAGCACUUUUAUGAUCCAGAUUUUCAUUCUGGAUUUUUGGUAAUGAGACUGCACAACGUUCGUCGAAAGCUAGAAGAUGGUCAGCGGCGUUAUAGGUCACACAAACGAUGCAGUGAAGAUGGACUUUCUUCGGACAAGGAGGAGGAAGAUGGUAGUGGGAUAACUGAGUGGAUCAACUUGAUGAAAAGGUUCAGGUCUUCUACAGGCAACAUUUCUUCGAUCAAGCAGCAGUGCAGAAAUCCUUCACCUGGCGCAGAUCAUGGAUAGCCAAACAUUCCCCCUCCCUGUCUGAAAUCUUUGAGGAAUACCCACACUUCUUGGAUAUGCCAUCUCUGGUAGCUUGAUACAGAGUUUGGUAAAAUGUAUGAGGGAAGCGAAGAUUUGUUCUUAAGAAGAUGGGAGGCUACCAUCAUUCCCAAGUUGGAGGCAAUUGUCAUCAUGGAGACAGGUGAUCUUGCAUCUCUUAAGGACAUGGAACACCAGAAUAAAGGUAUACAUUUAAAAAUAUAGCUCUGGAUAGAUUUCACAUAUAAUGCUACAGCCUCUGUGUAAUCUAGGGCUGAACGAUUAAUUGCAUUUGCGAUAAUCUCGCGAUAUUUUAAAACGCGAUUCUCUAACCGCACUGGCUGAGAUUUGACUGGUCACGUGACUUGGGAGCGAGCCAAGCCGAGGACGAGCGGAGCAUACCCGAGCAGAAGGCAGGGAGGUGGAGAAGUGAAGUCAACACAGCGCACUUUAGGGCGUUUUCACACCAGCACUAUUUGGUCCGGUUAAAACGAACUCUGGUCCGUUUGUAACUUUAGUGCGGUUCGAUUGAUCAGGUGUAAAAACAGUAAUCGCACUCGGGUGCGGAUCAAAAGAACCGGACCGAGACCAGCUAGAGGAGGUGGUCUCGGUCCGGUACCAAACGAACUCUGGAGCUGUUCGCUUGUGGUGAGAACGUGAUCCGGUCUCGUUUGGA